AUUGAACGCUGGCGGCAUGCCUUACACAUGCAAGUCGAACGGUAACAGGUUAAGCUGACGAGUGGCGAACGGGUGAGUAAUAUAUCGGAACGUGCCCAGUCGUGGGGGAUAACUGCUCGAAAGAGCAGCUAAUACCGCAUACGACCUGAGGGUGAAAGCGGGGGAUCGCAAGACCUCGCGCGAUUGGAGCGGCCGAUAUCAGAUUAGGUAGUUGGUGGGGUAAAGGCCCACCAAGCCAACGAUCUGUAGCUGGUCUGAGAGGACGACCAGCCACACUGGGACUGAGACACGGCCCAGACUCCUACGGGAGGCCAGCAGUGGGGAAUUUUGGACAAAUGGGGCCGCAAAGCCCUUGAAUCCAAGCCCAUGCCCGCCGUGCCGGGAAAGAAAGGGCCCUUU
rnacentral:rRNA from 1 species